ACAAAUGGUCAUAUCACCCUGAACACACCUGAUCUCUUCUGAUCAUAGGACUAAGCAGGGUUGGGCCUGGUUAGUAUUUGGA
rnacentral:rRNA from 1 species